CCAGUAGUUUUUGCGUGAAGGAGAAAAUUUUGUAAGGGUGUGCAUAUUAAUGACUUAAUUAAUAGACAAAUUACUGAAGAAAUACUUCACGUCAAUCGAAUUAUAAUUAUGAGAAGGUAUUAUUUUGAUUAAAUUGUUUCCCGUUUAAGGGUUUCCUAUGGAACUUUCUUUCGGUGUAAGAUCUGUAUUAAAUUACUUCUGUAUCUUAGUUGUUUGAAUUAUAUAAUUUAGGAAGUAUAAAAAUAAGCGUAUUUAAUGUAUAACUUGUUAAAGGGAUAAUUCACAUCAAUCAAAUUAUAACUAUUUGAAGAUAUUAUUUUGAGUAAACUGAUGUUGGGAGGGGCUUCCAAUGUGUAAUCGAUAAACGAUCUGUAUUAAAGUAUUCUUGUAUUUUAGUUGGUUGAAUUAUAUAAUUUAGGAAGUAUAAAAAUAAGCAUAAUUAAUAUAUAAUUUAUUAAGGGGAUAAUUCGCAUCAAUCAAAUUAUAACUAUUUGAAGAUAUUAUUUUGAGUAAACUGAAGUUGGGAGGGGCCUUCUAUGUGCGAUCGAUAAACGAUCUGUGUUAAAGUAUUUUUCAUUUUAGUUGAUUGAAUUGUACGAUUUUAAAAAGUCUAGAAAUAGUUAUCGAAUUUAUAAUGUAAAAACAUUUCAUUACCUAGCUGAUUUAUUAAGCGAACUUAAUGUUUACUUUUAUUAAUUGCUCAACUUGUUCGAUGUAUGAUCUUGAUUGGAAGAUAUAAUCUUAAGGUAGAAUGAUAGAGUGAGGCGGAUAGAUAACGAAGUUUACCUUUUUGGAUAGUUAAAACGGAAAACAUUCCUAGUGGAGAUUUCGUGAAAGCAAGUGUAAUAAGAAUAUAAUAAGGAGGAGUGAAAUAAAGACAUAAUAAUUAUUAUAAUUAUUCGGCUGUUUAACUACAUGACCUAAUC